AGGAGAUAACGUGGCUGUAUUUUAUGCUGUAACUGAUGUGUACUUAGAAAGAUUAUAUUUGGUAAUUUAAAUCUUGGUUGCUGGGGGCCUGGAGGGCGUUUGCAGAAGUGAACUGAGUCAGUUGAAGGAAUACAGGCAUUCCUCCUCAUCAUACCAGCCAUAUUAAUCCAGUACAGAACCAAUAUGUGUGGUGAUGAAGGGGAUGUGACCCCGUUUAGGCGUUCUGAAGAUCUGAUUUCAAAAGCUGGGAGGAGCUCACGUGUGACCAGACCAACCUGGAGAGAGAAAAAGAAAGAAAGAGAGAGAGGGACAGAGAGACUGUCUCCCAGCUGCUGAAUGAGGGAUGGGGUCUCAGUGCUGGUCUGCAGUUUCAGGAACAGUUGUUGGCA